AUGAAGGGCUCUGGCUCCCAAUUUCCCCUUCUCUGGGAAGCUGUCCUGGCAGAUGGGAAUCCAUUCCUGAAAGUAGUUAUUUUCUCAUGCCUCUUGACUUUUGGACUUGGGAAUUUGGAGCAACCUGCAAUAUCGGUUUCCAGAACAAAAGAUGAGUGUCCAAAUAUCCUGUAAGGCUUCCAUCAAUAGCGUUAAAAGUGUAGACAUACCCUGGUACAGGAAGAAACCCAAUCAAGGUUUAGAGUUUCUAUUAUAUGUCAUGGCAACUCCUACCCAUAGUUUUUUUAGAUGAAAAGUACAAAAAGAUGGAGACAAGUUAAAAACUCUAGUGCUUCCACGUCGACAUUGAUAUAUUCCUUGGAGGAAGAUGAUGAAGCUAUCUACUACUGUUCCUAUGGCUAUAGCUUGGGCUGGAUCAAGGUAUUUGCGGAAGGAACGAAGGUCAUAAUAAUCCCUUCUGACAAAAGAUUUGAAGCAGACAUUUCCCCCAAGCCCACCAUUUUUCUUCCUUCUGUUGCUGAAACAAAUCUUUAUAAGGCUGGGACAUACCUUUGUCUCCUUGAGAAAUUCUUUCCAGACGUUAUAAGGGUAUACUGGAAAGAAAAGGAUGGCGAUAAAACCCUAGAAUCCCAGGAAGGGAAUACACUGAAGACUAAUGACACAUACAUGACAUUUAGUUGGCUCACCGUAACUGAAAAAUCAAUGCACAAAGCGCACAGAUGCAUUGUCAAACAUGAAAACAACAAAAAUGGAGUUAACCAAGAGAUUUCCUUUCCUCCAAUAAAGAAAGUUGCCAUGAGUACUGUACUUACAACUUGCUGGCAUGAAAAUGACGUGCAGCAACUUCAGUUAACGAGCACCUUGGCCUGCUACACCUAUCUUCUUUUACUCCUCAAGAGUAUGACCUACUUGGCCAUGGUCAGCUUCUUUCUGUUUGGAAGAACAGAUAUCUGUGGCAAUAAGAAGAAGUCCUAAGGAAGUGAAUGGUGGUACAAGUCAGUGACUUUUCAUCCUUGACUGUCAAAAGGUGCCUUAUUGGGGUCCAGCUGGAUUUUCUUGCUAACUUUGACCUCUGUAAAGUCCAAUGUAUAUCAUUCUGCCACUGCAUAAAAGUUUUCAAACUUUUAUAAACAGUUUGAGCAACUUCUCUAUAAUGGAACACACCUCUUUCCUGAUUCCAUCCUCUUCAAUAGUCUCCUCUCCCAGGAGCCUGAAGCAUCACAGCUUUAGUAUGUAUAGCUUGCAGCUUCUGCCCAUAGUCCUUGUUGACCUUGAACCAGCUAGCUCUCUGAAAAUCUCCACUCUAGAUGAUCUGAAGAGCCGUCAUUACUGCUUGAAUUCUUGUCUUGUAUUUCACAUUAGAGACAAUAAAUUUUCUAAA